rnacentral:rRNA from 1 species
AAUAAGCGGAGGAAAAGAAACUAACAAGGAUUCCCCUAGUAACUGCGAGUGAAGCGGGAAAAGCUCAAAUUUAAAAUCUGGCGGUCUCCGGCCGUCCGAGUUGUAGUCUGGAGAAGCGUUUUCCGCGUUGGACCGUGUACAAGUUUCCUGGAACGGAGCGUCAUAGAGGGUGAGAAUCCCGUCUUUGACACGGACCCCAAUGCUUUGUGAUGCGCUCUCAAAGAGUCGAGUUGUUUGGGAAUGCAGCUCAAAAUGGGUGGUGAAUUCCAUCUAAAGCUAAAUAUUGGCGAGAGACCGAUAGCGAACAAGUACCGUGAGGGAAAGAUGAAAAGCACUUUGGAAAGAGAGUUAAACAGUACGUGAAAUUGUUGAAAGGGAAACGCUUGAAGUCAGUCGCGUCGGCCGGGACUCAGCCUUGCAUUCGCUUGGUGUACUUUCCGGUCGACGGGCCAGCAUCAGUUUUGACCGCGAGACAAAGGCGGAGGGAAUGUGGCUCUUUCGGGAGUGUUAUAGCCCUUCGUUGCAUGUCGUGGUUGGGACUGAGGACCGCAGCACGCCUUUAUGGCCGGGGUUCGCCCACGUACGUGCUUAGGAUGCUGGCGUAAUGGCUUUAAACGACCCGUCUUGAAACACGGACCAAGGAGUCUAACAUGCCUGCGAGUGUUCGGGUGGAAAACCCGUGCGCGUAAUGAAAGUGAAAGUUGGGAUCCCUGUCGUGGGGUGCACCGACGCCCGGACCAGACCUUUUGUGACGGAUCUGCGGUAGAGCAUGUAUGUUGGGACCCGAAAGAUGGUGAACUAUGCCUGAAUAGGGUGAAGCCAGAGGAAACUCUGGUGGAGGCUCGUAGCGAUUCUGACGUGCAAAUCGAUCGUCAAAUUUGGGUAUAGGGGCGAAAGACUAA